rnacentral:sRNA from 1 species
UUCAGCUGGUCGGGGGUGACGUAGUGGACGUGGGUGUCCACCGCGCCGGCGGUCAUGAUCAUCCCGUUGCCCGCCAUCACCUCGGUGGACGGACCGAUGACGAGGGACUCGUCGACCCCGUCCAUCACGUCGGGGUUGCCGGCCUUGCCGAUCCCGCAGAACUUUCCGUCGCGGACGCCGACGUCGGCCUUGACGAUGCCCCAGUGGUCGAGGAUCACCACACCCGUGAUCACGAGGUCCGGGGUGUCCUCGGUGCGGGCGCGGGCGGACUGCAGCAUCGACUCGCGGA